GCCGGAGUGGCGGAAUGGCAGACGCACCUGACUCAAAAUCAGGCGGGUAAAACCGUGGGGGUUCAAGUCCCUUCUCCGGCA
rfam:Negativicoccus succinicivorans DORA_17_25 Q612_NSC00348, whole genome shotgun sequence.